rnacentral:rRNA from 1 species
UACAGAGGGUGCAAACGUUGCUCGGAAUCAUUGGGCGUAAAGCGCACGUAGGCGGUCUGAUAAGUCGAAUGUGAAAGCCCUGGGCUCAACCCAGGAAGUGCAUUCGAAACUGCCAGACUUGAAUAUGGAAGAGGGUCGCGGAAUUCCCGGUGUAGAGGUGAAAUUCGUAGAUAUCGGGAGGAACACCAGUGGCGAAGGCGGCGACCUGGGCCAAUAUUGACGCUGAGGUGCGAAAGCGUGGGGAGCAAACAGG